rnacentral:lncRNA from 1 species
GUAAGCCAGCUGGAACUCCCUGGGGGAGUUGGGGCCUCAUGGGUAGGGGCCUGCAGCAUGUGUGUGUUGGAGACCAGGCUGGGUUCAGUGUGUGGAUGUGUAUAGUAUCUGUACCCGCUCCCCAUGGAGCUGUAGUAGAUUAGGUGACAUUGGACCCCCUAAUCUGCAGGCCAUAGAGGGAACAUGGGACAUCUCCAGGCCAACUCCUUUUCUUAGUGAUGAGCAGUGACUUGCUUGAGCCCUGUUUUCUUUAGACGCUGACUCCUGCUGUCUACCAGAUCCUCGUGGUACAAUGACUGGUGUAGACUGGCUUGUUGAAGUCACUCUCUGGAUCUGAGCAACGCUGGCUGAGCCGUGAUGAAGUAUUCCUAUCCAUCCACUAUGCUUCACAGUGGGAAUCUCUCACUGUUCAUCACCGCUGCCCUAGCAGCCGCAGGGAUUCUUCACCCAUGGUUGCUUAGGUUUAUAAGCAAGGAAGCUGAAUGAAGUCCCUUUCCUCUCUGGAUGAGCCCCUGGGUUUCUGGAAGAGUCUUAAAAUCACCCCUAAAUGGCUUCCAAGCACUGAAGCCCGAGAUGUUAGCUGGCCUGUGUGAGGCCUUGAGACAGAAUGCCACAGCCACACCCCAAGGAUGCUGAAGGGGAUUUCCCUCCUCUGUGGUUUUUCUCCUUUCUUCCCGCAGCACUCCUCCUACGUGCUAACAUCUUCUAGUCAAACAACUCUCCUUUUCAAAGGGACCAGGCACAGUUUCUGCUUAUCCCUGAGUAGCAGUGUUCAGUUUCCUGCCAGCCUGUGGAGUUUUUCAAACAAGCCAAUCACCUCCUCCUGUGGGAACUGAGAAGCACCCCACCCUCUCGAUACUACAAAGCCCCUGCUUGUUCCCUAGUGCAACUCCCAUGUGGUCCUGUGGAGCAUAUGGUAUCUUCCUCUUCUGGGCAGUGAGCAUAUGUGACUAAUAAACUAUCUAUCUCAUCUGUUCAGUGCCAGGUGUCAUUUGUUCUGCCAUCCCAUGACCUAGGGUGGGGAUUCCUUCCACACCAACAGGGUGAAUGCAAGGUGAUUAAAACAAGAAGCCUCUUCAGGAUCUAUAUCCUAGGGAAAAAAUUAAACAACAACAACAAAACAAGAAGCUUCAACUCUGACCCUGUAUUCCAGAUGUGUUACAGGGGCCUGUCUCCCCAGAGCCACUCUCCAGGUCAGAGCUUACCUCCCCUUGCUCAGGGUUAGGAGCUCUGGGCAGGAAAAGGACAUCAUGUUAAAA